rnacentral:rRNA from 1 species
UCCUACGGGAGGCAGCAGUGGGGAAUCUUGCGCAAUGGGCGAAAGCCUGACGCAGCGACGCCGCGUGCGGGAAGAAGGCCUUCGGGUUGUAAACCGCUUUCAGGAGGGACGAAGCCACUCGGGUUAAUAGCCCAGAGGGUGACGGUACCUCCAGAAGAAGCCCCGGCUAACUACGUGCCAGCAGCCGCGGUAAUACGUAGGGGGCGAGCGUUGUCCGGAUUUAUUGGGCGUAAAGAGCGCGUAGGCGGCCACGUAAGUCCGACGUGAAAUCUGGAGGCUCAACCUCCAGCGGUCGUUGGAAACUACAUGGCUAGAGUCCGGAAGAGGAGAGUGGAAUUCCUGGUGUAGCGGUGAAAUGCGCAGAUAUCAGGAAGAACACCGAUGGCGAAAGCAGCUCUCUGGGACGGUACUGACGCUGAGGCGCGAAAGCGUGGGGAGCGAACAGGAUUAGAUACCCUGGUAGUCCACGCCGUAAACGAUGGGUGCUAGGUGUGGGCGGUGUCGACUCCGCCCGUGCCGAAGCUAACGCAUUAAGCACCCCGCCUGGGGAGUACGGCCGCAAGGCUAAAACUCAAAGGAAUUGACGGGGGCCCGCACAAGCAGCGGAGCAUGUGGUUUAAUUCGACGCAACGCGAAGAACCUUAC